UUGUCCCACGUCACAUCCUUGACGUGGAUAACCCAAAGCAAAAAUCUGGGACGGUUCCCGAACCUGCAUGGAAAGAGAAUAAGAUAAAAGAGGAUUAACCGCCGUUGAUGUAGUGCGACGCCAAGCCUCGGCAUUCAUUUAUAACCGCUAGAUUACGCACUUAACGAAAAUUAAGGCGGUGUUAAAGCGGUUUAUCCUAAUCCGUUGAGUAUUUGGAAUUCGAAGCGAAUUGAAAUUUGAAAUUGCUUUGGAAAGCUUCGCCUUCGCCCUCUAUAAAAGGGAAUGUCGACCGUCGAGGGUUUUAAUUUCAAGUUGCUUGGAAGGACGGUGUGGACUUGCUUUCUCUGUUCUUAUUUAGUCUCUCUAGAGAGGUAUUUAUGCUUGGGAAGAGAAGAAAGACUUGGGCGGUGCUUGUGACUGAUCUAUUCAACAUCCAAUAUGGCUUCAUGGUGACUGGUGUUUCUUGGACAUAAAGGUUGCGUAGAUCACUAAUUUGCAUAUGGUCUCAGAAGUUUGAUCAAGUCUACCUAGAGACUAAUAGAACUUGUGUAUGCCUACCGCUCUUUGGCCUUCAUAGGUGGUUUUUCCAAGUUGACGUUCUCAUUCAGUUUUAGGUGGCUCACUGAUUAUUAAUCUGGUUUUAUUUUCUUUUUCAAGCUAUAUGAACAAAGAGUGUUUCAAGAAUGCUAGAUAUCAGUUUGUUUGGAGUUUUGCAUAUGCUAUAGUUAGAUUUCUAAUAUGCUACUAUCUUUGUUUGUUUAAAUAAUAUUGGUCUUCCGAUAAAAAAAGGAAUGCAAGAACAAAAUUGUAAUUAUUGGUGUUUCAACAGUAUUGGAAUUUUUUUUUUUUAGUAACAAAAUUGUUUCUUUAGUUUUUAUCACUUAAAUGAGAUAUGAUGGGUUAGUCAUGUAAUGCUCUAAUAAUGAAUUGUGAUAAAGUUAGUGAUGGAAGAAGUGAGAAGGGAAGUAGGAGACCUAAAAUUACACGUAGGGUGCUAUUAAAAGAAUUACAAUUUUUGAACAUUGAUACGGAAAGUUAAAAAAAAAAAAAAAAAUUCCUAUAGUUGAUACCAACUAGUUUGAGUUUUAGGCUUACUUGUCGUUGUCAUUGUAUCGUAGUUAAGCUUGAAUUGUGCAAAACUAUUCAAGCAAUUUGAAUUUUAAUUCUUGUGUAGGUCAAUUUGUGAUUAUUGUUGGAAUUAUUGUCAAGAAAAACAAUUCCUUAAAUAUGUUUUGUCUUUGCAUUUAUUUGAAUUUACUGAAAAUUUAUUAGUUAUGUAUAAGAUUAUGAAUGAUAACAUUUGCUAGAGAAUGAAUGUAGCACAUAUAGGAAAUAAAUUGAGAGAGGGUCAUUUAAGAUGAUUUGAUUACGGACAACGUAGAGAAUCAAAUGUUGUGAUAAGUUAGUAGGGGAAGGAAUGAGAAGGAAAGGGAAUGGAAAGGUCUAAAGAUGAUGUGGAGGAGAAUAGUAUCACAUGAUUUAUAAGUUUUGGAUAUUGAGGGAAAUUUGGUGUUUAAUAGAGUUGAAUGGUAAAUGAUUUAUAUAGUAUAGUCAACCCCAACUAGUUUGGGAUUAAGUCUUAGUUGUUGUUUAGUAACUCCAAAACUUCUACCUUUUGAACUAUUUUUUCAAUUGCUUCUAAACUGGUUCCCCUUUUUUAUCAAAAAAAGGAUUUUUUUUCACCUGCCAACCGCAAACUCCAAAUGGUUCAUAUAUCAGGAGAUCACCUGUGGAACCUGAAACUGUAGAGUUUCUUACUGCGUGUCAAGGCCUGAAUGGUUCAAUCUUCAAGUUGAACAACGCGUGUAUCAGGAAUUUAGAUGACAGGUCUUAAUUGAUAGCUUUUGAGGGUUGAAAAUCCACGCAUAAACAAGUCUCAAGUGUCCAAGUUAACAGCGUGAACACACAAGUCUUAUAUCCUACUCUUAGUUUGAGGUCAAAUAGCAGAUCGAUUAUUAUGGGAUGGGUCCUCUGCUCAACAAGCCCAAGAAAGGAAGAAGGUUGAUGUUAAUAAGUUGGAAUCUAGGGCAAAAGAAUUGUAUGUUGUUUUGCAAAGCCACUGUUGAGGUUCAUUUUAUGACAGGCCAUAAAGGAUUAUUAGAAAUUGAUAAGAGUGCCCAUUCAAGCAUAUAUCAGUUAAUGAUAAAGAAAUAUUAUGCUUUCUUGUUCAUGGCAGAAAUAAUAAAUUGAAGCAUGUAUCAUAGAAUCGUCCUUUUUAAACAUGUAAAGGUCUUGUGAACAGAUUCUGAUUAUCUCUGCAAAUUCAUAAAGAAAUUAGGCAUUUCUGGGCUCCUUGGCA